rnacentral:rRNA from 1 species
UACGGAGGGUGCGAGCGUUAUCCGGAAUUACUGGGUUUAAAGGGUGCGUAGGCGGAUAGGUAAGUCCGUGGUGAAAUCCUGCAGCUUAACUGCAGAACUGCCGUGGAUACUAUUUAUCUUGAAUAUCGUGGAGGUUAGCAGAAUAUGUCAUGUAGCGGUGAAAUGCUUAGAUAUGACAUAGAAUACCCAUUGCGAAGGCAGCUAACUACGCGGUAAUUGACGCUGAGGCACGAAAGCGUGGGGAUCAAACAGG